rnacentral:rRNA from 1 species
UACAGAGGUCUCAAGCGUUUGUUCGGAUUCAUUGGGCGUAAAGGGUGCGUAGGCGGCGCGGUAAGUCGGGUGUGAAAAUCUCGGAGCUUAACUCCGAAACUGCAUUCGAUACUGCUGUGCUUGAGGACUGGAGAGGAGACUGGAAUUUACGGUGUAGCGGUGAAAUGCGUAGAUAUCGUAAGGAAGACCAGUGGCGAAGGCGGGUCUCUGGACAGUUCCUGACGCUGAGGCACGAAGGUCAGGGGGAGCAAAACGGGG